GAUGAACGCUGGCGGCGUGCCUAAUACAUGCAAGUCGAGCGAACAGAUGAGGAGCUUGCUCCUCUGACGUUAGCGGCGGACGGGUGAGUAACACGUGGAUAACCUACCUAUAAGACUGGGAUAACUACGGGAAACCGGAGCUAAUACCGGAUAAUAUAUUGAACCGCAUGGUUCAAUAGUGAAAGACGGUUUUGCUGUCACUUAUAGAUGGAUCCGCGCCGCAUUAGCUAGUUGGUAAGGUAACGGCUUACCAAGGCAACGAUGCGUAGCCGACCUGAGAGGGUGAUCGGCCACACUGGAACUGGGACACGGUCCAGACUCCUACGGGAGGCAGCAGUAGGGAAUCUUCCGCAAUGGGCGAAAGCCUGACGGAGCAACGCCGCGUGAGUGAUGAAGGUCUUCGGAUCGUAAAACUCUGUUAUUAGGGAAGAACAAAUAUGUAAGUAACUAUGCACGUCUUGACGGUACCUAAUCAGAAAGCCACGGCUAACUACGUG
rnacentral:rRNA from 1 species